rnacentral:rRNA from 1 species
CCUACGGGAGGCAGCAGUGAGGAAUAUUGGUCAAUGGGCGCGAGCCUGAACCAGCCAAGCAGCGUGAAGGAGGACUGCCCUACGGGUUGCAAACUUCUUUUAUAAAGGAACAAAGUGAGGCACGUGUGCCUUUUUGUAUGUACUUUAUGAAUAAGGAUCGGCUAACACCGUGCCAGCAGCCGCGGUAAUACGGAGGAUCCGAGCGUUAUCCGGAUUUAUUGGGUUUAAAGGGUACGUAAGUGGGUUGUUAAGUCAGUUGUGAAAGUUUGCGGCGCAACCGUAAAAUGGCAAUGGAUACUGGCAGCCUUGAGUACAGUUGAGGUAGGCGGAAUUCGUGGUGUAGCGGUGUAAUGCUUAGAUAUCACGAAGAACUCCGAUUGCGAAGGCAGCCUACUAGACUGCCACUGACAUUGAUGCUCGAAAGUGUGGGUAUCAAACAGGAUUAGAUACCCGAGUAGUC